CAUGGAGUAGAUCAGCGGUAGAUCACCCGGCUGUUCACCGGGAGGGCGCGGGUUCGACUCCCGCCUCCAUGU
rnacentral:tRNA from 1 species